rnacentral:lncRNA from 1 species
GAGCUCAUUGAUCAUCAUAACAGAGUCUAUUGAAAGUCCUCAGCAGGCGGUGUGACGAUGUGACCGGCUCUGGCCAAGGAGCUGUAGGCAGAAGUGUCUUGCAGCAGCUCCUGUAAAUCUUAAAAGAUGCUGGUGCAUGUCUUUUUUCCUUUUUUUUUCCCUUCCGCCUUCCUGCUGCACUGAAUAUGGAUAUGGUGAGUGAAUCUAGAGCAGCCAUUUGGAGGUAUGAAGAGAUCUUGGAAAUAGAGGCCAUGUGUAUUGAAACAAGACCAAACAACUCCAAGUUCCUGAAGACUUCAUUUCACCAACCCAGAACCUCCUUGAUCAUCACAGCCUUCGCAUGGAUGAUUGUCUGUCCUCUGUUGGGCCCCUUCUGAAGAGUUGGAGUUGGGUUGCUGCUGCUGUGCAGCUGAGGUACAAUCCCUCUCGUUCUUUGGGCAUCAGCCUCUGUUCUCCUUACAUGUGCUGUUUGCAAACUGUAGAAACCAUUUGGGCUGGUUUGAGCAUAAAAGGAAAUUACUGAGAGUUAUUAGGAGCUCGGUGAUUCAUUGGGAGGUCUGGCAAAAAAGAAGCUCAAGGCUAAGCUCAUAGGAACACAGCCCGGCAUCUCACACAGAAGUGGCUUGAUGAGGAUUCUACUGCCUCCACAGCUCCUGCCAUCAUCUUCAUCUGCACCAUAGAUGCUCAGAACCCAGUCUGUGUCGGCAUGUUGCUGACUUCCAAAUCAGAGAUUCAUGAGAGUGUAUUUGGUUGGUAGAACAUAGGUCCCAGACCUACUCCCUGGGAGCUGCAAGGGAUGCUGGGAAAUUCUGCCCUGGAAAAAUAAAACUCACAAUGUGGGAAACAAAGAAAA